UACGUAGGGGCCAAGCGUUGUCCGGAUUUAUUGGGCGUAAAGAGCUCGUAGGCGGUUCGGCAAGUCAGCUGUGAAAUCUCCACGCUCAACGUGGAGGGGUCAGCUGAUACUGCUGUGACUCGAGUCCGGUAGGGGAGUGUGGAAUUCCCGGUGUAGCGGUGAAAUGCGCAGAUAUCAGGAGGAACACCGGUGGCGAAGGCGGGUCUCUGGGCCGAUACUGACGCUGAGGAGCGAAAGCGUGGGGAGCGAACGGG
rnacentral:rRNA from 1 species